UACGAAGGGGGCGAGCGUGGCUCGGAAUUACUGGGCGUAAAGGGAGCGUAGGCGGACAGUUUAGUCAGAGGUGAAAGCCCAGGGCUCAACCUUGGAAUUGCCUUUGAUACUGGCUGUCUUGAGUACGGGAGAGGUGUGUGGAACUCCGAGUGUAGAGGUGAAAUUCGUAGAUAUUCGGAAGAACACCAGUGGCGAAGGCGACACACUGGCCCGUUACUGACGCUGAGGCUCGAAAGCGUGGGGAGCAAACAGG
rnacentral:rRNA from 1 species